rnacentral:lncRNA from 1 species
GAUUCUAGUGGAGCCACCAACCAAAACGACAUCAUGAACUGUGCUCUUGUCCAUCUUAGCAUCCCUCAAACACUUCUCAACUGGUUCCAUACACUUCCUAAACAGAUCCAUGUUAAGCUCUUCAAAUCUAGCACGUGUGAUGGUGGAGUAAAAAUCAAUACCCUCGUACAGAGAGUCAAUUUCAAUGGUGGUCUGGGCAGUGGAUGAAAGUGUCCUCUUUGCCCUCUCA